UCUACCCUCACAGUCUGGAAUAACCGGCCGAAAGGCUGGCUAAUACUGGAUAGAGCGACGGAAUCCGUAAUUGGGUUUUCGGGAAAGGGAGCUGGUAACAGCCCUCGCUGUAGGAUGAGCCUGCGUCUCAUUAGCUAGUUGGUGGGGUAAUGGCCCACCAAGGCUUUGAUGGGUAGCUGGUCUGAGAGGAUGAUCAGCCACACUGGAACUGAAACACGGUCCAG
rnacentral:rRNA from 1 species